UACGUAGGUGGCAAGCGUUAUCCGGAAUUAUUGGGCGUAAAGGGUGCGUAGGCGGUUUAUUAAGUCUAUGGUGAAAGUGCGGGGCUCAACCCCGUAUGGCCAUAGAAACUAGUAGACUUGAGUGCAGGAGAGGGCAAUGGAAUUCCACGUGUAGCGGUAAAAUGCGUAGAUAUGUGGAGGAACACCAGUGGCGAAGGCGGUUGCCUGGCCUGUAACUGACGCUGAGGCACGAAAGCGUGGGGAGCAAAUAGG
rnacentral:rRNA from 1 species